rnacentral:rRNA from 1 species
GGUUGUCGUCAGCUCGUGCCGUGAGGUGUCGGGUUAAGGUCCCACUAACGAGCGCAACCCUACCCUUUAGUUGCCAUCAGGUUAAGCUGGGGACGUCUAAAGGAACUGCCUACGCAAGUAGUGAGGAAGCGGGGAUGACGUCAAAUCAGCACGGCCCUUACGUCCAGGGCUACACACGUGCUACAAUGGCCGAUACAGAGGGCAGCUACCUGGUGACAGGAUGCAAAUCUCCAAAGUCGGUCUCAGUUCGGAUCGGAGCCUGCAACCCGACUCCGUGAAGUUGGAUUCGCUAGUAAUCGCGCAUCAGCCAUGGCGCGGUGAAUACGUUCCCGGGCCUU